rnacentral:rRNA from 1 species
ACAUGCCUAUAGCAUAGCGUUAAUGCACUGAAUCCCAUUAGAACUUCACAGUUAAGCGCACUCAGUCUAGAGUAGUAUUGGGAUGGGUGACCACGUGAGAAGUCCUAGUGUUUUUCAUGCC